UACGGAGGGUGCGAGCGUUGUCCGGAAUCAUUGGGCGUAAAGGGCGCGUAGGCGGGCGGCCAAGUCAGAGGUGAAAGCCCCCAGCUCAACUGGGGAAGUGCCUUUGAUACUGGUCGUCUCGAGGGAGAUAGGGGCGUGCGGAACUUCCGGUGGAGCGGUGAAAUGCGUAGAUAUCGGAAGGAACACCGGUGGCGAAAGCGGCGCGUUGGAUCUCUUCUGACGCUGAGGCGCGAAAGCCAGGGGAGCGAACGGG
rnacentral:rRNA from 1 species